rnacentral:rRNA from 1 species
GAUGAACGCUGGCGGCGUGCCUAAUACAUGCAAGUCGAGCGAAUGGAUUAAGAGCUUGCUCUUAUGAAGUUAGUGGCGGACGGGUGAGUAACACGUGGGUAACCUGCCCAUAAGACUGGGAUAACUCCGGGAAACCGGGGCUAAUACCGGAUAACAUUUUGAACCGCAUGGUUCGAAAUUGAAAGGCGGCUUCGGCUGUCACUUAUGGAUGGACCCGCGUCGCAUUAGCUAGUUGGUGAGGUAACGGCUCACCAAGGCAACGAUGCGUAGCCGACCUGAGAGGGUGAUCGGCCACACUGGGACUGAGACACGGCCCAGACUCCUACGGGAGGCAGCAGUAGGGAAUCUUCCGCAAUGGCCGAAAGUCUGACGGAGCAACGCCGCGUGAGUGAUGAAGGCUUUCGGGUCGUAAAACUCUGUUGUUAGGGAAGAACAAGUGCUAGUUGAAUAAGCUGGCACCUUGACGGUACCUAACCAGAAAGCCACGGCUAACUACGUGCCAGCCGCCGCGGUAA